rfam:Helianthus annuus linkage group 13, whole genome shotgun sequence.
AACGUUAGGAUGAAAGCCAAGGAUGAUUUGCCGAAAAUAGCCGUCGGUCCAUUGGACCGUAGGUGCAUGCAUUGGCAAAUCGUCUUUGGCUACAUUCUUCUUUCU